AAUCAAAGAAUACAUGGGAGCUCCUGUCACUCAAGAUCCAAAGACGCAAGGUGACCUUGAUUUAUACUGUUCUCUUGAUUAUAUACUGUUCUCUUGACUUAUACUGUUCAGGCUCCAGAGAAAAGGCAUUUCCACAUCUCUGUUUCCUUGAAAUAAAACUCUUCUGAGUCUAAUACUUUGAAGAUUUGUGGGAAACCGGCACUGCUGAAUUGAAAAUUCAGGGAUGAUAUGAGUUGCAGAAGCUCUUAGGGUCUUGGCAGAUAUGAUUAAGUUAAGGAUUUUAAAAUGAGCACAUAAUUCUGGAUGGGCUCAAAAUGCACAAGAGGGAGAUUAUACACACACAGGAGAAGAAUGUGUGACAAUGGAGGCAGAAAUCGGAGUGAUGCAGCCACAAGCCAGGAAAUGGUGGCAGCCCCCAGGAGUUGGAAGAGGCAAGGAACAGAUUCUCCCCCAGCCUUCAGAUGGUGUGUAGCCCUACCCCCACCUUGAUUUGGGACUUUUGUGAGAGAAUAAAUUUCUGUUAUUGUAAGCCACCAA